CCACACUCUCACAUUCAAAAUCUCAGACCCCUAUGAUCACUCCUCUAGCGCAACUGUAUUUCGCCCACUCUCUCACGCCAUGCCAACCACCACCAUGUUAGUCGCCAUGCCAGUUGCCACCCACCACCAGAUCGGUCUCCACCCAUCUAUCAAUUGCUUGUUCCACUGUCCAAAGACAAAGAUUUAUGCUUCUUUGGAUGUAUAAUACAAUGGCAUUAGGGGUGUUUAUUAUUUUUAUGUAUUUUGUUGUUAACGGUGAUUUUUGGGCAAAAAAUGGUCCAAUCCAAUCAUAUUGAAAAUAAUCCUUAGAUGGUGUUGAAGAUGGAUUUUGGUGUAGGGACAGCUAUUGAUUUUGAAUUUUGGAAUGGGUAGUGUAAAAAUUUCUAUUUACAUAAAUCUGUAAUUCGAAAUAUUGGAAAGAUAAUGAAAAUUUGGUAUCACAAUAUUAUUUAUGCUUCUUCCCCUUCUAUCCAACAAGAUUUUCUCUUUCUUUUUUGUAAGUUUCUUGGGUUUGAUAUGUUCUUGGGGUUUUGUGAUAUUUGUUAAUGUCAUUUGAAUUUUUUGUUUUUUUAUAUUUACACUAACCAAGUUUGUCAAAACCUGACUGUUCAUAUCUUGGAACACCAAAUUGAAUGGCAAAUGUAAAUGUCAAUCUCCACAGUUAUGAAAUCAUCUGUUGAAAUGAAAUAUUGUUCUCAACAGUUAUUCUCUGUAAUUCUCAAUAGAUUCAUUACUGAAUCUUUUGUCGAUAUGACCAAGUUCGGUUGAGCUGAACAUUCUAUGUGUGUUUUGAAAUAAAACAUAUGAAAUAUAAUGGUACGACAUUUUGCUUUCUUUAUAAUCCUUGUUCCCGCAGAUGAAAUCAAGAGUGAGGUAUGUCUGUUAAUUGUCUAGAAUUUAGAUUUGUAAAUAUUCUCGACCAUUUCUUGAUUAUAUGAUUUGGCUCUUAUUUAUGUCUUUCACGGUGCUUAUCAUAAUAAUUUACAAUCCACGCAAAUGCUCUAUAUCAGCUUAGUGGAUAGCUAGUCAUGUUCAACCUCAAAUAUCUUUUACAAAAUUCUCUUUGAUGGUAUGAAAAUAUUGGCUUUUCUACUUUACAUGUUAAGCUAACUAUUAUUUUGUUGUUUGCAGGGUUUGGCAUCUGAUUUGUUGAGGGAAUACAUUUUCAACUUUUGAG
rnacentral:lncRNA from 1 species